GCAUGGUUUUGGAUUUAUGGUGGGUCCUACUCCAUGGGCUUCCCAUAGUGUACUCCAUGCUACAGCAACUGACCUCCCCGAACCAUUGGCUGGCCUGGCUUGCUGUAGCUCCAGUCACUGAAGCGGGUGGCACAUGA